rnacentral:misc_RNA from 1 species
GAUGAAGAACGUAGCGAAAUGCGAUACGUAAUGUGAAUUGCAGAAUUCAGUGAAUCAUCGAAUCUUUGAACGCAUAUUGCGCUCUCUGGUAUUCCGGAGAGCAUGCUUGUUUGAGUAUCAGUAAACACCUCAACUUCCAUAUCUUUUUUGAAAUGGGAGUUGGACUUGAGUGAUCCCAACGCUUUUCCUCACCGAAAAGUGGCGGGUUACUUGAAAUGCAGGUGCAGCUGGACUUUUCUCUGAGCUAUAAGCAUAUCUAUUUAGUCUGCCUAAAAAACAGAUUAUUACCUUUGCUGCAGCUAACAUAAAGGAGAUUAGUUCUUGUGCUGACUGAUGCAGGAUUCACAAAGACGGCUUCGGCCGACUUUGUAAACUCGAUCUCAAAUCAAGUAAGACUACCCGCUGAACUUAAGCAUAUCAAUAAGCGGAGGG